ACGCCGAUAGCUCAAUUGGCAGAGCAGCCGUCUCCAAAGCGGCAGGUUGCAGGUUCGACUCCUGCUCGGCGUG
rnacentral:tRNA from 2 species